AUAAACGGUGAGCUCGCCAAACACAGCCACGCUGCAGAUUCAGCCUCUGGGCAUUCAUACAGCACAACACAGGGCGGGCUCUCACUCUGUCCAAGCACAUGUGGAGGAAACAAGCAGGCCAGUCACUGGACAGAUGCUCCCAACCUUGCGAGGUGAACAGAAUCACGAAGGUAUCUGAAGUAGGAGCUGGACAAUAAUUAGAAAUCAGCAUUAACGUGGACCAUUGCGUCUUCGCCAGAGUACGUCCUGUGGACAUCACAAGACGUCACAUCACAGCAUCCUCUCUUUAGGGACACGUUUCAGAAGACGAGGAAGCUGCUUCUCUCGUCCGUCUGCUUUUGUGGACAGGCUUCGUGUGGAUUGUCCCCAGGCUUCACUCCCGUGUCUGGGGGGCUCCUGGUCCCUCACCAGCCCUUGUUUUCUGGAUCCCAUUUCCUGAUUUCUUUCUUUUAUUUGGAUGGUAUAUACUCUCCAGUAGCCUCCUGAGGAAGGGUGCAUGGAAAGUAAAUGUUACAAAUGUUUUCUCUGACAUUACAGAUAAGUUGGUAUAUUGUUAUAGGUAGAAAUUAGUCUUAAAGGUAUUAUAGGGAAAGGAGUGGGGGUGACAUGAUCUUAAAUCUUUAGAAUGGCAACAUAAUAUCCAAACAACUUCUUAAUCAAACUGAGGCCCAUAAACCGCGUUCACAACAAAACAGAUGACAUGGCAUUUCAGAACCCCAAAUACAGGAGGGUGUACAAAACAAAACAGAUGACAUGGCGUUUCAGAACCCCAGAUACAGGAGGCUGUACGCAGAGACGUUGCUUAGAGAAGUCCUCAUGGUGCCGCAUAGGUGUUGGAAUUUUGCAAAUUCGUUGCUAAAUGAACAACUAAAAAAAAAUUGAGCAAACAGCCUGUGAAAAUUUCUUGAAAUGAGUUCUUACUCGGGGAAGCUCCUUCUAACUUUUUGUUUAUUUUUGGCUUUUGGCCCUGCUGUGCAGCUGACAGGAUCUUAGUUCCCUGACCAGGGACUGACUGCUGGCUCUUGGCAGUGAAGGCAGAGUCCGAACCACUGGAC
ensembl:lncRNA